rnacentral:rRNA from 1 species
GACGAACGCUGGCGGCGUGCUUAACACAUGCAAGUCGAACUGAAAUGCCCUGCUUUUGUGGGGUGCUCGAGUGGCGAACGGGUGAGUAACACGUGAGUAACCUGCCCUUGACUUUGGGAUAACUUCAUGAAACUGGGUCUAAUACCGGAUAGGAGCUCCUGCUUCAUGGUUGGGGUUGGAAAGUUUCGGCGGUUGGGGAUGGACUCGCGGCUUAUCAGCUUGUUGGUGGGGUAGUGGCUUACCAAGGCUUUGACGGGUAGCCGGCCUGAGAGGGUGACCGGCCACAUUGGGACUGAGAUACGGCCCAGAAUCCUACGGGAGGCAGCAGUGGGGAAUAUUGCAAAAUGGGAGGAAGACUGAUGCAGCAACGCCGCGUGCGGGAUGACGGCCUUCGGGUUGUAAACCGCUUUCGCAUGUGACGAAGCGUGAGUGACGGUAAUGGGUAAAGAAGCACCGGCUAACUACGUG